rnacentral:rRNA from 1 species
UACGAAAGGUGCAAGCGUUACUCGGAAUCACUGGGCGUAAAGCGCACGUAGGCGGACUCGUAGGUCAGUUGUGAAAUACCUGGGCUCAACCCGGGAACUGCAGCUGAAACCGCUUGUCUUGAAUACCUGAGAGGGUGGGGGAAUACCUGGUGGAGAAGUGAAAUUCGUAGAGAUCAGGUGGAACACCGGAGGCGAAGGCGCCUGCCUGGCAGUGUAUUGACGCUGAGGUGCGAAAGUGCGGGGAGCAAGCAGG